rnacentral:tRNA from 2 species
GCCCUCGUAGUUCAACGGAAAGAACAGUGCUCUCCUAAGGCACUGAUGACCGUUCGAUUCGGUCCGGGGGCACAA